GACGUAGGGGGCCAGCGUUGUUCGGAAUUACUGGGUGUAAAGGGUUCGUAGGCGGUGUGGCAAGUCGGGAGUGAAAUCUCUGGGCUCAACUCAGAGACUGCUUCCGAAACUGCUGUGCUGGAGUGUGGGAGAGGCGCGUGGAAUUGCAGGUGUAGCGGUGAAAUGCGCAGAUAUCAGGAGGAACACCAAUUGCGAAGGCAGCUCGCUGGAACGUGACUGACGCUGAGACGCGAAAGCGUGGGGAGCAAACAGG
rnacentral:rRNA from 1 species